AACCAGAAAGGGUCUCACUUGCAAUGCUUUGUUUGGUCUCGGAGUGCCUGAGUUGGUUGUGAUUGCUGGAGUGGUUGCUUUGGUUUUUGGGCCCAAGAAGCUGCCUGAAGUGGGGAAGAGUAUUGGGAAGACUGUCAAGAGCUUCCAACAGGCUGCAAAAGAGUUUGAGUCUGAGCUUAAGAAGGAGCCCGAUUCACUAUCAGAGAGCCCAGAAGAAAAACCUACAGCAGUCGGUGAAGAGAAGAAACAAGAUGUUGAAGUCUCAAGCUCAAAGGAGAGUGUAUGAGACUGUAGAAAUAUGCAGUUGAUGCAAUUUUCUUUUGUUAUGUAAUUCCCAUGCGUUUAGAUCAUAUUUUUCACGCAGCAUAGAUCAGUGAGAAAUCGCAAUUUGAACUGGUAAGAUGGUCAUAUGCUACAAUUGAACAAGUAGGCAGGAGUCUGAUAAACUUUAGUAGGGAAGUUAGCAAUUUUCCAUCUCGUUUCAAACAUGUUUUCUAUUAAGAAUUCUGCAAAUAUAUUGAACUGCUUGUUGCUUUGUAGCAUAUGACCAUCUUACCAGUUCA
rnacentral:misc_RNA from 1 species